UUAAAUUGAGAGUUUGAUCCUGGCUCAGGAUGAACGCUGGCGGCGUGCUUAACACAUGCAAGUCGAGCGAUGAAGUUUCCUUCGGGAAACGGAUUAGCGGCGGACGGGUGAGUAACACGUGGGUAACCUGCCUCAUAGAGUGGAAUAGCCUUCCGAAAGGAAGAUUAAUACCGCAUAAUGUUGAAUGAUGGCAUCAUCAUUCAACCAAAGGAGCAAUCCGCUAUGAGAUGGACCCGCGGCGCAUUAGCUAGUUGGUGGGGUAACGGCCUACCAAGGCGACGAUGCGUAGCCGACCUGAGAGGGUGAUCGGCCACAUUGGGACUGAGACACGGCCCAGACUCCUACGGGAGGCAGCAGUGGGGAAUAUUGCACAAUGGGGG
rnacentral:rRNA from 1 species